CGCAGCUAGGUGGCACCGCAAGCCGCGACGUAACUUCCCCACCUUUGUCCCGACAGUUAUUAUGUGCAAUUAGGACUUAGACCGAGAGUAAGAUAAGGCAGUGAAGAUACAGGAGAAGAGGCAUGUGGCAUCUUAGUCCUUCGGAAUGGCAACGCAUGAGUUGUGUCACUGAUGUCACAUGAUAAUGACCGAAGCGGUGUUUAUAAGCUGUCAACUUAUUUGCUAUAAAAAAAUUCAAAUAAACUCGCUGAGGGCGUCAUGUCAUGCUACUACUUAUAAUUCAACAGGGAGUUUCGAAAUCACAGUCUAUACCUGGCAAUCAUUGAGACAUUUAGCUACCUACUCAAGUGUUGUGAUUCAAGGCGGAAGAUAAUGUUUUAUGGACAACACGGAAACAGCAUCUGUCCGGUUAAUUAAUGGG